UUUUUGGAGAGUUUGAUCCUGGCUCAGAGUGAACGCUGGCGGCGUGGAUUAGGCAUGCAAGUCGUGCGAUAUUUUUGGUGAAAAGGUUGAAGCCGUAAGGUAGAAGUCAAUUCGCCUUAAAUAUAGCGGCAAACGGGUGAGUAAUACGUGGGUAAUCUACCUUAAAGUCGAGGAUAGCCUUGCGAAAGUAGGGGUAAUACUUGAUGUAAUUCUGAUGGUUCAGUCUGUCAGAAAAAAAGCACCUUGACGCAAGUCAGGGGGCGCUUUAGGAUGAGCCCACGCCCUAUCAGCUAGUUGGUGAGGUAACGGCCCACCAAGGCUUUUGACGGGUAGCUGGUCUGAGAGGAUGGUCAGCCACACGGGGACUGAGAUACUGCCCCGACUCCUACGGGAGGCUGCAGUCGAGGAUAUUUAGCAAUGGGCGAAAGCCUGACUAUGCGACGCCGCGUGAGGGAUGAAGGUUCUCGGAUUGUAAACCUCUUUCGACGGGGAAGAAACCCCACCAUUAAUACUGGUGGAUUGACGGUACCCGUAUAAGAAGCCACGGCCAACUCCGUGC
rnacentral:rRNA from 1 species